GGGGAUUUAGCUCUGUGGUAGAGCGCUUGCCUAGCAAGCGCAAGGCCCUGGGUUCGAUCCCCAGCUCCG
rfam:Rattus norvegicus chromosome 2, whole genome shotgun sequence.